GGGUGGUAAUGCCGGAUGCUCCAGUUGACCGCAUGGUCCUCUGGGAAAGCUUUUGCGGUAUGGGAUGGGGUCGCGUCCUAUCAGCUUGAUGGCGGGGUAACGGCCCACCAUGGCUUCGACGGGUAGCCGGCCUGAGAGGGCGACCGGCCACAUUGGGACUGAGAUACGGCCCAGACUCCUACGGGAGGCAGCAGUGGGGAAUAUUGCACAAUGGGCGCAAGCCUGAUGCAGCGACGCCGCGUGCGGGAUGACGGCCUUCGGGUUGUAAACCGCUUUUGACUGGGAGCAAGCCCUUCGGGGUGAGUGUACCUUUCGAAUAAGCACCGGCUAACUACGUGCCAGCAGCCGCGGUAAUACGUAGGGUGCAAGCGUUAUCCGGAAUUAUUGGGCGUAAAGGGCUCGUAGGCGGUUCGUCGCGUCCGGUGUGAAAGUCCAUCGCUUAACGGUGGAUCCGCGCCGGGUACGGGCGGGCUUGAGUGCGGUAGGGGAGACUGGAAUUCCCGGUGUAACGGUGGAAUGUGUAGAUAU
rnacentral:rRNA from 1 species